UACGUAGGGGGCAAGCGUUGUCCGGAUUUAUUGGGCGUAAAGAGCGUGUAGGCGGCCAAGCAGGUCCGCUGUGAAAACUCGAGGCUCAACCUCGAGACGUCGGUGGAAACCAUCUGGCUAGAGUCCGGAAGAGGAGAAUGGAAUUCCCGGUGUAGCGGUGAAAUGCGCAGAUAUCGGGAAGAACACCCGUGGCGAAGGCGGUUCUCUGGGACGGUACUGACGCUGAGACGCGAAAGCGUGGGGAGCGAACAGG
rnacentral:rRNA from 1 species